rnacentral:rRNA from 1 species
ACGGAUGCUUGCCUUCGCUGACGAGUGGCGGACGGGUGAGUAAUACUUAGGGAUCUGCCUUCGGGAGGGGGAUAACCAUUGGAAACGAUGGCUAAUACCGCAUAACGUCUACGGACCAAAGGGGGCUUCGGCUCUCACCUGAAGAGGAACCUAAGCGAGAUUAGCUAGUUGGUGAGGUAAAGGCUCACCAAGGCGACGAUCUCUAGCUGUUCUGAGAGGAAGAUCAGCCACACUGGGACUGAGACACGGCCCAGACUCCUACGGGAGGCAGCAGUGGGGAAUAUUGCACAAUGGGGGAAACCCUGAUGCAGCCAUGCCGCGUGUGUGAAGAAGGCCUUCGGGUUGUAAAGCACUUUCAGUCGUGAGGAAAGGAUGAUGGUUAAUACCCCUCAUCUGUGACGUUAGCGACAGAAGAAGCACCGGCUAACUCCGUGCCAGCAGCCGCGGUAAUACGGAGGGUGCGAGCGUUAAUCGGAAUUACUGGGCGUAAAGCGCACGCAGGCGGAUUGUUAAGCUAGAGGUGAAAGCCCCGCGCUCAACGUGGGAAUUGCCUUUAGAACUGGCAGUCUAGAGUCUUGGAGAGGGGGGUGGAAUUCCAGGUGUAGCGGUGAAAUGCGUAGAGAUCUGGAGGAACAUCAGUGGCGAAGGCGGCCCCCUGGCCAAAGACUGACGCUCAUGUGCGAAAGUGUGGGUAGCGAACAGGAUUAGAUACCCUGGUAGUCCACACCGUAAACGCUGUCUACUAGCUGUUUGUGUAUUUAAUACGUGAGUAGCGUAGCUAACGCGCUAAGUAGACCGCCUGGGGAGUACGGCCGCAAGGUUAAAACUCAAAUGAAUUGACGGGGGCCCGCACAAGCGGUGGAGCAUGUGGUUUAAUUCGAUGCAACGCGAAGAACCUUACCUACACUUGACAUGCUGAGAAGUUACCAGAGAUGGUUUCGUGCCU